rnacentral:rRNA from 1 species
UACGAAGGGGGCUAGCGUUGCUCGGAAUCACUGGGCGUAAAGGGUGCGUAGGCGGGUCUUUAAGUCAGGGGUGAAAUCCUGGAGCUCAACUCCAGAACUGCCUUUGAUACUGAGGAUCUUGAGUCCGGGAGAGGUGAGUGGAACUGCGAGUGUAGAGGUGAAAUUCGUAGAUAUUCGCAAGAACACCAGUGGCGAAGGCGGGUCACUGGCGCGGUACUGACGCUGAGGCACGAAAGCGUGGGGAGCAAACAGG